CACCUAUGAUGAAGCAUUUAUUAGAAAGGAUGAAUUUAGACAGCAGGCUGUCUCAGAAUAGCACUCAUCCUGUGCCUCCUGAUUGCUGAGUCUUCACCUGGACCUUCUGACUACCUUCCUUGUGCUAUAUUCCAUCAGCCUACAGAUCUGGUACCUGGAUUUUUACCCAUGGUGAUUCCUGCCACCUUACUACUGAAGAAGACACCAUUCCAGUGGACCACUGUGACCUAAGAGGCAUUCAGCCAUCAUGAUGUGGCCUUUACCUCCACUCCUGUCCUGUUCUACCCAGAUUCAGCACAGCUCUAUAUAGUGACAUCAGAGUCCUCAAGCCAAAUAGCUGAAGCUAUUUAUCCCAACAGUGGCCCAGUUUGUUCCAUGAGUAUUCAUUUCAUUUCUUCAGUUACAGCCUUCAGAGACACAUAAUAAAUUCGGACCAGGGGAUUUUGAGUUAUCAAUGCCAUCGGAAGACAAGCAACAUCUCUGUUGAAAACAGCAUUGGACCACACCCCACAAUCUCAAAUGACUGAAGUUCAUGAACCAUCUAGGAUCCCAUCAAGGUCAUGGACCGUGUUCUUUUUCAAUUCAAAUCCUGUAGUAGCCUAUAGAAUGAGAACCCCAUUGGGAUCAAAUCAAAGGCACAGUGAACUCCUCAUAUCAUCUUCUUUGGGAUCACUCAGGAACCAGAACCUCACACGAAUGUAAGAAAUUCUACCAAGGAGUCCCUUUACCUAACAGCGUCUCACAAGACUCCAGUCAGAUUCCAGAAAAGACUUCUUAAUACAUCAAGCAUUUUGUGAACAACUUAUUCUUAGAUCAAUGGUUCUCCAAAGUCUUUGUGGCCCUGAAGCCCUUUGAAUGAAAACUAUGCGGAAGCCCAGAGCUGUGGAUGAAGCAGUGAAGCAGGAGUGAGGGCCUGAAGCCUGCCCUAAGCAUCUUUACCACCAUGGUGACACCCAAGGGGACUUCCUUACAACACCUAGAACUCUUCAGAACAGUUUGAAAACUACUGCCCUAGACAACAAUAUGUAUGACCUGAAUGGCAUUCUGAUCUUUUCUUUACCUCUACUCAACACAGCCAUGUUCAGUUGAUGCUGAGCAAUCUUAGAAAAGUGCAAGAAGUCAGGCAUGCCUUUGCCCCUGGGAAUAAUCACAUGGCUAAAAGUGGUGUCAAGUGAGUGAACCUAGUUUAACAGCCCUCCAACCCAGAUGGACUUCCAGUGAUUCCUGGAAUUGGAUAUAGCCAGAGAGCAUUCUAUGCACCCUGUACUGACAAACUCCUUAACCAAUUUCUCUCACAAACACCAGAUGUUCUAGUGGUACUUGAAGUACAUGACUUUGAAGUCUUGACCCUCUGUGGAUACCUGAAUUGCUAGCAAGCUGGUAUUGAAACUAAUGCCUCAUUGAGGCCAUAUUAGAUCAACUUGUACAUUUGACUUCUCAUCAUCAGCCAUGGUACUCUGUGCAAGGGAUAACCAUUAACUAUGAAAGCAAAUUUCAAGUGCUGGCAAUAUUUCCUAAAGGGGCUCAGUACCUAUUUAUAAUUCAUCUUUUCAAACUGCAAGUCACUGUAUGACUUAGUCAGUGGCAGUCAUGCUGCUCCUUGGUUUUUAUUCAGUUUAACUACUGUUUCCAGGAUAAAUGAGCUAGUAACUUUAAAAAAAAAAUAGCUAAAAUUUUUCAUCACUGGCAUAUCUGCCUUUUCUCCAAAGUCAUGACUCCUCAGCUUUAACUACAUGUAACAGCUGAUCCGCAAGAGAUGAUCUUUGAACAUCCCUUCUCAUGUAUGUGAUUUAAAGUGAAACCAUUUGGAAAAUCACCUAGCCAGUGAGAGAGAUACUUUUAAGAUGAGUCUUUAGAUGUCUGAUAGCAUCAAUUAUAGGUGGUAGGGAUAAUUGAAAGCAGGCCCUUUGACUAGGCCAUAAUAACUUAUUUUCUGGACAUUUCAAAUAACUAAACUGUCUACUUUUGCUGGAAACAGACUGACUUGAAAAAAAUCCACAAAGAAUACAUCUAAGGAUUUUUAUCAGUAGACUAUAGAGCUGCUCACCUUGUGGAUGUUUUCAUGGGAUCACAUCUGUCUCAAUACUCUCAUUUUACAGUGGUUCAGAGCUGCUGACUUUAUUCCUUGCCAUGAAUCACUCAUGCAUUAAGACAACUUAUUUCUGUAGGAAGUAUUCAAUUCAUGAACUCUCAGACCAGAUUUUGUCAAACAAGGAGACUUCGAUGUGUGUAAUGAGAAAUUUUCAUUCCUUCCCUGUCAAUUUAAGGACCAGCUAUCCUGAGGUACUCUAAUGAAUGCACUGGUUAAAUAUUGGAAAUGGUUUAUAUUCUUGUCUCCUAUACUCUAGACCAGUUGUGAUUACGUGAUUCACUACGUAUCGUUAAACAAGACCUGGAUCUGGUUGCUCUCACCCUCAACUUAUAAAAUCUGAAUGACUAGCCUGCUUGUAUAUACAACUAUUAUUUGUAAUGAAGAAAUUAUCUUCAAGCUCAAUUUUUUUACCACCUUAAAAUUGUCAGCUCUUUUUUUCUCUGUUUUUCCUAUACUUUACAGAAAAAGAUAUUGAUCUACACUGCCAAUCAUUCCCUCUAAUCUUGUCGUACUCAGUCAAAAUGAGUGGUUUAAAAUGAGGGUAAUCACCUGCUUAAGAGUCUAAAAUGUACACUGUGUAUAAGAAUUAGUGGUUGGAAAAACAAGCCUAAAACUUAAACUGAGGAGCUUGCCUACUAUCUCUAUGCCUCAGAUCUCAUCUAAAUCUUCCAACAGCACCAUUCAACAAUUUGACGCCUUGACUUGCUUGUAAGGUGAUUCUCAGAAAUUGGCUGAGUUAAAAUGAAGACUUGAUUACCAAAGAAACUAGGGCCAAUUUUGAUAAAUGUGGCUCUGCUGACCCUGUCACUCCCAGAUGUAGCAUAAAGUAUACAGAAUCUCAAGUCUGCACUGAGGUUAUGGCCUUCUCCUGAGCUGAAAGUUCUUCAGCAGAUGAGCAGAAAACUGAAAGCUGAUGAACCUGAUGGAAGCUUUAACAUCAGAAAACUAUCCAGAGUAAACCUUAUGGAUUAAUCCUGGAGUACCCAGGGUACAAACUAAUUUACAGAGCUGCAUUAUUAAUCUGCCUGUUCUUCCGUGACAUAUCCUAACUAUUCUAAGGCUGGCUCUGCUAAAGUUACCCUGCUUGUCUAUUUACCUGACUCAGCUCUUGCCUGCCUUUUCUGACAUGUUGCUGCAAUCAGACUGACCUUGAAAAGACUACAGCUAAUGUCAGCCUAUGUUGUGCCCAGUUCCACCACAGAUUUUUUUAGUAAAAGCAACCCACACCUCAUUCACCAGGACUUAAUAUUCACAACAGGAAGAACCAUGCUGUAUACUCCUUGAUCAGGAGCUUUUUAAAACUUAAGUGCAGAGUGAGCCUCUAUGCUUAUAUGUAUUUGAACAUUUUUGGCAUCUGGAAAACCUCUUCUAUCUGAAAAAUACAACAGGUCAAAAACUGUCCAUUUCUGUCUUCUGCAGUAAUACGGAAAUGAGUCCAAUUCACCAGUACUCACAGAAAUGUACAACUUGGCAAAAGACUUACAGGAACACAAGAAAAGUUUUUCACUGAACUUAAAAUAUACUGCUGACUCAAAUAGCCUCACAGAAUUAUUUGAUAGUAGAAGGCUAGUUGUCUUGCUCAUAUCAACAGGACAGUUGGGCUCUCAGACUCAUGACCACUGAGCUUGCUUGUAUUGAAACUCUGGUAUCAUCCAAAGUAUGCUAUUGGACACAAUUAUUCCAUCCAAAUGGAUUACAGGCUUCCUGGGGGCAUGACAGAUGUAUCCCUUACUGCAUUUUGUUUGUUUGUUUUUAAUUUAUUGCCAAGGAAGAAACAGUGCAAGCUGUUACCAUUCAACUUCAUGAGCAGAAAUUAGCUCUUUUCAACAUCUGGUCUUAUCCCGGACAUAGUUUUUGAUUGCCCAGCAUCCAUUCUAUCUCAUUGCAACAACUCCCUGAUGUUUCUUGGAACCACCUCUUCCUAUCUUCAGUUCAUGUGGUUGGGACAAUCUGACCCAACCUUGGGCUUCACAGGUGGACAUGUAAUUCAGACCUCAUCUAUCAGCAAAUCCAUCUCCUUGAACAUAGUGUUUGAUUCAGAAUGGUUAUAUAAUUCAAGAUGGUUCGGUCAUACUCAUCCCUAGUUUUACUGAACUGUGGAGGAGGAGAAGCUCUCUUUACUGAGGUGGUUUAGCUUUAUAGGAUGAAAAACUCAAACCAACAGGACCUCCAGAAUUGAGUGAACCAGUCAGAUAAUGAAGCCAGUGCAGAGAAAAGCAGAGCCAAAAUAUGGAAAGACUUUUGAGUCCUGAUGACAACGUUUGUGCCCCUGGAUCCAACUGUGCCUGAAGCUAGUAUAUCCCCUGGACUUUUCAGUUAUGUGAACCAAUAAAUACCCUUUUUUGUUUAAGUUA